UAUUCGGAACAUCUUCUUCAGAAGAUGCGGAAUAACGUGACAUAUUGUAUUCAGUUUUGAAUGUUUGUUCAUUCAAAUUAAUGGGCCUAUAGCUCAGCUGGUUAGAGCGCACGCCUGAUAAGCGUGAGGUCGGUGGUUCGAGUCCACUUAGGCCCACCAUUAUUUGUACAUUGAAAACUAGAUAAGUAAGUAAAAUAUAGAUUUUACCAAGCAAAACCGAGUGAAUAAAGAGUUUUAAAUAAGCUUGAAUUCAUAAGAAAUAAUCGCUAGUGUUCGAAAGAACACUCACAAGAUUAAUAACGCGUUUAAAUCUUUUUAUAAAAGAAAACGUUUAGCAGACAAUGAGUUAAAUUAUUUUAAAGCAGAGUUUACUUNAGCAUGUGGUUUAAUUCGAAGCAACGCGAAGAACCUUACCAAAUCUUGACAUCCUUUGACAACUCUAGAGAUAGAGCCUUCCCCUUCGGGGGACAAAGUGACAGGUGGUGCAUGGUUGUCGUCAGCUCGUGUCGUGAGAUGUUGGGUUAAGUCCCGCAACGAGCGCAACCCUUAAGCUUAGUUGCCAUCAUUAAGUUGGGCACUCUAAGUUGACUGCCGGUGACAAACCGGAGGAAGGUGGGGAUGACGUCAAAUCAUCAUGCCCCUUAUGAUUUGGGCUACACACGUGCUACAAUGGACAAUACAAAGGGCAGCGAAACCGCGAGGUCAAGCAAAUCCCAUAAAGUUGUUCUCAGUUCGGAUUGUAGUCUGCAACUCGACUACAUGAAGCUGGAAUCGCUAGUAAUCGUAGAUCAGCAUGCUACGGUGAAUACGUUCCCGGGUCUUGUACACACCGCCCGUCACACCACGAGAGUUUGUAACACCCGAAGCCGGUGGAGUAACCUUUUAGGAGCUAGCCGUCGAAGGUGGGACAAAUGAUUGGGGUGAAGUCGUAACAAGGUAGCCGUAUCGGAAGGUGCGGCUG
rnacentral:rRNA from 1 species